UGGUCCGGCCGUGACUGGCGAUCGGGUAGAGUACUACCGGGAAGCGGUCGGGUUCCUUCGUCGCCUGCCGUCCGCCUGGGCAGGGUUC
rnacentral:ncRNA from 2 species